rnacentral:lncRNA from 1 species
AUUCAAUGUGACUUCUCAUGUAGCUUGCUGGAGGACACACACUGUCUUCUCUCUGAGAUCUUCAGUUAAAUCCUCAUUGUUCAACAUUAGCUCUCUGAGUGGAUUCUUUGGGAGCAACCUGAGGAGGGGCUGAACUUUACAUCUGGGUCCCUUUAGUGGAUAGCAGAGAUAAUCUCCUGGACUUGGGAGCCAGGGAAAAGCAGCCCUACAAACUGAAGCUAGACAACUUUAUAUAAACUUUGGGAGAAAUCAUCACAGCAACUUACAUGUAAACAACCUCCGUGCUUGUUGACGGAUGGACUACUCAGAAAGUCCACUGUGUUGACCUAAUGGAAGAAACUGAGGCAAAAUUAAUAUAAGUAGAGAGUUUAUUUGGGUCAAGUUUGAAGACUGCAGCCUGGAAGACAUAAAUUCAAGUUGCCCUGAAUAUAUCCUCCAAUUAGCAGCAGUUACAAGUGAGUUUUGAAAUAAAAAAACAGGGACAGUUCUUAAGCUGUUUGUCAAGAAUUUGCAUUGGUUCAUAAAAAU